UACGGAGGAUGCGAGCGUUAUCCGGAUUUAUUGGGUUUAAAGGGUGCGUAGGCGGGCUUUUAAGUCAGCGGUAAAAAUUCGGGGCUCAACCCCGUCCGGCCGUUGAAACUGGGGGCCUUGAGUGGGCGAGAAGUAUGCGGAAUGCGUGGUGUAGCGGUGAAAUGCAUAGAUAUCACGCAGAACUCCGAUUGCGAAGGCAGCAUACCGGCGCCCUACUGACGCUGAGGCACGAAAGCGUGGGUAUCGAACAGG
rnacentral:rRNA from 1 species